UAAGCUGAGCUUAGAGCUGUUCCAGUGUUGCAGUGUGAAGGAAGGUGAAGUCAGACCAUGCUAAAAUGGCAGCUACUAUCUUAAACAGAGGGAGCUUCUAUGGCUUUUUACAUGGGUAUGGUAAAGCAUUUAGCCGAAUAAAUAUAGUGUUCUAGCUUGCACUAUUGUGAUUAAUCAAUUUCCAAUAAAAUGCUAAAAUGCUUUUCCUUUAAGUCCUGCUUCUAAUUUUUAAUUGGAAAUAUAACUAAAAUCAUCUACAAGACUGAAAGCCUAAAUUCCCUUUUUGUGACUUCAGGGAACAGGCAGCAGACACCCCCUACCUCACACAGAGAGGUCUUGGAAUCUACAAGAAAACAAGCAGCAAAAGAUGCUUCUAAUGAGGAGAUUUCCCGUAGCACUUCCAGGGAGGAGAAACUUUGUGGGCGAAAUGAUGCACUUGCAGCAAUUAAGCACGAAGAGCCACUUAGGGAAAAAAGCCCCAUCGACAAGAGGGAUGGGAUUUUCCAAAAUGAAAAUUGGAAUAAAAACAGAUCUUCUGCCAGAAAAAAAGAAAAAGAGAAACAGCUUUUUUCCUGCAAGGUGCCUCCUUCACCCACUCCUUUCAAACGGAUAAGCUUUUGUUUCCUUGAUUUUUAUUGCAUGACAACUUGGCCUCACUCGUCUUGUGACUUUUUACAUUUAGUCGUGGCCUUGCUUGAAUAUAAUCUAUUGCUUGUUUUGUCACCCUCCCAUCCUACGUUUUUCAGAUGAUGAAAGUCCUGUUUAUUGUGGGAAAAGGUCUAAUAACUGAAUCCGAAUAUAAAAUAUUACGUAAUUAAAGCAAAUGUUAUUGUAAUCACCUUUUUAAUGUGUUUUCCUCAAGCCAAGACUCCAUUUGCCACAGUGUCAUGCACGUUCUGCGAGUUUCUUCUUUUACAUUCUGUAUGCUGUAGUUUCACACAUUUGGCACUGUUUCUAGUUCCUUCUGAUUUGGUAAAGGUAAUGUUUCUGAUGCCUGCCCAUACACAUACAGACAAUAUUGUUUUUUUUAUUAUUAUUGGCGUAUGUAUGGCAUGCUGAAGAUCCAUACCGAUAUCUGCUAAUACACCCUAUGUAUGAUGCAUUGUCUAUUAGGAAGUGAGAGAAGUAGGAUGCUGUCCUGAUUUGUUUAGGCUUUUAUCCUGAAUGAAUGCAGCAACAGAAAGAUGGCUAUCCACUCGGCAGGGUUGCACCAUGUAUAGCAUAUAACAUAGGUUAAGCGUCAGUUAGCACCAGAACAGAGUUUUUGGGCUGGUGCCCACACAACAUAGUCUGUCUGCAUUUUUCUACUUACACUUAUUUUCUCACUCUUGCUUGUGGCAAUUUUUACAAGUUGGCUGAAUAGUAGUCAAAAUAAUUUCUUAUUACAUCACAAAAAGCAUAAGGCGAAGUGCAUGGGUAGAAAGGAAGCACCGAUGACAGAAUGAUAUAUGAUUGGUGCCACUAAGUUGUCUGAUGUAUCCAUUAUGAAUGGCUGGCAGUAGUGCAGCCCAGUUGGGUUUAAGUGUGCAACUGUGCCAGUCUGAGAACAGGGAGGCUGGACGUCCUGUGCAGAGCCGCAAUGGUUUCUUAUAAAGAAGUGCUGUAUUUCUCUGACAUGCCAGUGAAUUCAUGUAUACAUUAAAGUGCUGUGUAACUUGA